GGUUGGUCCGAGUGCAGUGGUGUAACUAAUUGAUCACAACCAGUUACAGAUUCCUUUGUUCCUUCUUCACUCCCACUGCUUCACUUGACCAGCCUUAA
rnacentral:Y_RNA from 1 species